GAUGAACGCUGGCGGCGUGCCUAAUACAUGCAAGUCGAGCGAACGGACGAGAAGCUUGCUUCUCUGAUGUUAGCGGCGGACGGGUGAGUAACACGUGGAUAACCUACCUAUAAGACUGGGAUAACUUCGGGAAACCGGAGCUAAUACCGGAUAAUAUUUUGAACCGCAUGGUUCAAAAGUGAAAGACGGUCUUGCUGUCACUUAUAGAUGGAUCCGCGCUGCAUUAGCUAGUUGGUAAGGUAACGGCUUACCAAGGCAACGAUGCAUAGCCGACCUGAGAGGGUGAUCGGCCACACUGGAACUGAGACACGGUCCAGACUCCUACGGGAGGCAGCAGUAGGGAAUCUUCCGCAAUGGGCGAAAGCCUGACGGAGCAACGCCGCGUGAGUGAUGAAGGUCUUCGGAUCGUAAAACUCUGUUAUUAGGGAAGAACAUAUGUGUAAGUAACUGUGCACAUCUUGACGGUACCUAAUCAGAAGGCCACGGCUAACUACGU
rnacentral:rRNA from 1 species